rnacentral:rRNA from 1 species
GACGAACGCUGGCGGCGUGCCUAAUACAUGCAAGUCGAACGCUUCUUUCCUCCCGAGUGCUUGCACUCAAUUGGAAAGAGGAGUGGCGGACGGGUGAGUAACACGUGGGUAACCUACCCAUCAGAGGGGGAUAACACUUGGAAACAGGUGCUAAUACCGCAUAACAGUUUAUGCCGCAUGGCAUAAGAGUGAAAGGCGCUUUCGGGUGUCGCUGAUGGAUGGACCCGCGGUGCAUUAGCUAGUUGGUGAGGUAACGGCUCACCAAGGCCACGAUGCAUAGCCGACCUGAGAGGGUGAUCGGCAACACUGGGACUGAGACACGGCCCAGACUCCUACGGGAGGCAGCAGUAGGGAAUCUUCGGCAAUGGACGAAAGUCUGACCGAGCAACGCCGCGUGAGUGAAGAAGGUUUUCGGAUCGUAAAACUCUGUUGUUAGAGAAGAACAAGGACGUUAGUAACUGAACGACCCCUGACGGUAUCUAACCAGAAAGCCACGGCUAACUACGUG